rnacentral:sRNA from 2 species
GUUUGCACUUGUCGGGGAAGGGUGAGAACCUUCGAUUAAGAUUCGACUCGAGCGAAAGCGAGAGAACGUUGCCAACGGCAACGGCCCGUAGGUUGAGGAGCGAAGCGACGAAUAAUCCUUCCCCCACCACCA